UAUUAUUAUUAAUUUAAAUGUUAUUUAGUUAAUUGAUGAUAAAAGUCAAAAAUAAGGAAAAGAAAUCACACCAAAACGUAUCUUUCUCUCUCUCCCUUUUGAAAACCUAAGGACCCAGCUAGAACCAGAAGCUUUCUUCAUAAAUUCAGCCAGUUCUCAGCUGAAUCAAUCAAAGCUAGGAGUUAUUCAUGCUUUGAGGGAAGGGAAAAGUGGACCAACUAUGAGUCAGAGGUCUCCCAACGAUGUACAUAUCAACUGGUGUGCCUCGACUUCCAGUGGACAGGAUCCACCUUUUGAUCAUGUUUUAAAAAUGUAACUCCAUUUUGUAAUAUUUUUUUGGAACAUGUUGUAAAAGUUUAUAAACAAAAGGAUCUCCAAAUCUA